AGUGAACGCUGGCGGUAGGCCUAACACAUGCAAGUCGAACGGCAGCACAAUAAGAGCUUGCUCUUACGGGUGGCGAGUGGCGGACGGGUGAGGAAUACAUCGGAAUCUACUUUUUCGUGGGGGAUAACGUAGGGAAACUUACGCUAAUACCGCAUACGACCUACGGGUGAAAGCAGGGGAUCUUCGGACCUUGCGCGAUUGAAUGAGCCGAUGUCGGAUUAGCUAGUUGGCGGGGUAAAGGCCCACCAAGGCGGCGAUCCGUAGCUGGUCUGAGAGGAUGAUCAGCCACACUGGAACUGAGACACGGUCCAGACUCCUAAGGGAGGCAGCAGUGGGGAAUAUUGGACAAUGGGCGCAAGCCUGAUCCAGCCAUACCGCGUGGGUGAAGAAGGCCUUCGGGUUGUAAAGCCCUUUUGUUGGGAAAGAAAAGCAGCAGGUUAAUACCCCGCUGUUCUGACGGUACCCAAAGAAUAAGCACCGGCUAACUUCGUG
rnacentral:rRNA from 1 species